AGCUUCUUGGCAUUCUAUUUCUUGUUUUCAUCUUCUGGUUCAGAUUCCCUUUUAGAUUUCAUUUUAUUUGUGGGUUACUUUUUAUUUCAAGGUUCAGAUCUCCCUUCUAGUUUUGUUGAAAAUAUUUCUACUGGUACUAAGUGACUGCCUUUUAGUACUGCCUUGACUAGUGACAUUGCAAAGGAUUAGCACUUCAUUUGGUUGAUUGGAUUCUCUGCAACAUUCUGGGAGAUGGAAAAUGAGGGUUGGAUUAUAAUAAUUUGAGAUACAGCAGCUCCUUUGAUAGAGUUAGCUAGAGGUCUAGUGGCAACCCAAACACAAGUUGUAGAACUAUUUAAGUAAGGUGCAUUCUCAUGGUAUAGGAGUUCAUACCACGCAAAUGGUCUUACCGUUGGAAAUUGCAAAGGAGCUUGUUUACGUUAAUGCCAAGCAAUACCAUGGAAUUAUGAGGCGUAGGCGAUUACGUGCCAAAGCAGAGCUGGAAAAGAAGCUAAUUAAAGGAAGGAAGGUAUUCUGGCAAUGUAUAGCCGAUAUGGUUUCCUUUUAUUACGUUUGCCCCGACUGAAUGUAGAAUACGACUUGGUCAAACAUU